rnacentral:rRNA from 1 species
ACGGCUCAGUAACACGUGGCUAAUCCGCCCUGGGACCGGAACACCCCCGGGAAACUGGGGCUAAUUCUCGAUAGGUGAAGAACUCUGGAAUGAGUCUUUGCCAAAAAGACGUUUGCGUUAUACUCGUAGACGUCGCCCAAGGAUGAGGCCGCGACCGAUCAGGUUGUUGGUGAGGUAAUGGCUCACCAAGCCUUUUACCGGUGCGGGCCGUGAGAGCGGGAGCCCGGAGAUGGGCACUGAGACAAGGGCCCAGGCCCUACGGGGCGCAGCAGUCGCGAAAACUUUGCAAUACACGAAAGUGUGACAGGGCUAUCCCGAGUGCCAUCCGCUGAGGAAGGCUUUUACCCAGUCUAGAACGCUGGGGGAAUAAGGAGAGGGCAAGUCUGGUGUCAGCCGCCGCGGUAAUACCAGCUCUCCGAGUGGUGUGGAUGUUUAUUGGGCCUAAAGCAUCCGUAGCUGGCUAAGUUAGUCCCUUGUUAAAUCCACCGAAUUAAUCGUUGGAUUGCGGGGGAUACUGCUUGGCUAGGGGACGAGAGAGGCAGACGGUAUUUCCGGGGUAGGGGUGAAAUCCUAUAAUCCCGGGAAGACCACCAGUGGCGAAGGCUGUCUGCUAGAACGCGCCCGACGGUGAGGGACGAAAGCUGGGGGAGCGAACCGGAUUAGAUACCCGGGUAGUCCCAGCUGUAAACGAUGCAGGCUAGGUGUUUGGACGGCCACGUGCCGUUCUAGUGCCGCAGGGAAGCUGUUAAGCCUGCCGCCUGGGGAGUACGAUCGCAAGAUUGAAACUUAAAGGAAUUGGCGGGGGAGCAC